rnacentral:rRNA from 1 species
GUAGGUGGCAAGCGUUGUCCGGAAUUAUUGGGCGUAAAGCGCACGCAGGUGGUUCUUUAAGUCUGAUGUGAAAGCCCCCGGCUCAACCGGGGAGGGUCAUUGGAAACUGGGGAACUUGAGUGCAGGAGAGGAAAGUGGAAUUCCACGUGUAGCGGUGAAAUGCGUAGAUAUGUGGAGGAACACCAGUGGCGAAGGCGACUUUCUGGCCUGUAACUGACACUGAGGCGCGAAAGCGUGGGGAGCAAACAGGGAUUAGAUACCCUGGUAGUCCACGCCGUAAACGAUGAGUGCUAAGUGUUGGGGGGGUUUCCCGCCCCUCAGUGCUGCAGCUAACGCAUUAAGCACUCCGCCUGGGGAGUACGGUCGCAAGACUG